AAAAUGACUAAAUGACAGUUUGAUUUCAGAAACAAUGUUCAUCCCCGUGAUAGAUCUGCCUCCCACACCAUGGAGACCAUUCUCCAUCACUGCAAGUCCUUUGUGUUUGUAUUCAUAUUAAAUGUGAACUAACAAUGAAAUAAGGGAUGGAGAUGAAUCUGCAGGAUCAAGAAGGUACUGUGCCUACUUGUUCCGGGUUGGAAAAAGGAGGAUCAGUUGAAAGCAGAACAGAUUCACCAGACCUUCCAAAUUGCUUUGCCGAGUGUUUCUAACACAGAGAUGAGACGGAAGGAUCCUCUGGGUUCGGGGUAAUAAACAGUCUCCAAUUUCUCAUCUGCAGACUAGACAGAGGUGACUUGGACGUGUUGCCGUGGUGAUGGUUACAGGAACUCUGGCACAUGCACACGUUUCCUGACACUGUCCACAUCUGAGAUGUCACUCUCAGGGAAGCAAUCUCCACACACGAUUUGUAUUCGAUAUAAUAACUGCCACAAAGAAAGGUGGACAGAAGAAGGCUGUUCUGCUAUCAAAGACGUUGUGAGCCAAGAACACAUCAUAAACAUUCACAAGAAUACCCAUGGAGCGGCCCUCAAGAAGCAUGUCUGUGGGCCACUCAGAGGGAUUCAGAAGUUUGCCAUGGAAGAAGAUGGGGAC
rnacentral:lncRNA from 1 species